rnacentral:lncRNA from 1 species
ACGUUUGCUUCUUUGCUCCAUCUCAAGUUCAUGGGUCUUCAGUCUUCCAAAAACAUCAUCAAGAGACAUUUCUCCAAGAUCAAGAUUGUCUCUUAUUGUGGUGACUUUCAAAUCCCAUUUUUCAGGAAGAGCCAGAAGGAAUUUGAGAUUUGAGUCUUCAAGAUCAUAUUCCUUGUCCACCAGAGAUAAGUCAUUCAGCAGUUUGACAAAUCUGUCAUACAGAUCUGUCAGGGACUCACCAGAUUUUGAGUCAAAGUGCUCAUACUCCUGUGUAAGGAUUGUUUUUCUGUUUUUCUUAAUGGCCUG